CAGGACGGUCAUAGCGGCGUGGCUCUACCCGAUCCCUUUUCGAACUCGGAAGUCAAGCGCGCCCGCGUUCCGCGUGGUACUGCAUUUCUGUGCGGGAAGCGCGGAUCGCUGUCCAAC
rnacentral:rRNA from 1 species